CCUACGGGGCGCUGCAGUGGGGAAUAUUGGACAAUGGGCGAAAGCCUGAUCCAGCCAUGCCGCGUGUGUGAAGAAGGCCUUCGGGUUGUAAAGCACUUUCAGUGGGGAAGAAAGCCUUGGGGCUAAUACCCUCGAGGAAGGACAUCACCCACAGAAGAAGCACCGGCUAACUCCGUGCCAGCAGCCGCGGUAAUACGGAGGGUGCGAGCGUUAAUCGGAAUUACUGGGCGUAAAGCGCGCGUAGGCGGUCUGAUAAGCCGGUUGUGAAAGCCCCGGGCUCAACCUGGGAACGGCAUCCGGAACUGUCAGGCUAGAGUGCAGGAGAGGAAGGUAGAAUUCCCGGUGUAGCGGUGAAAUGCGUAGAGAUCGGGAGGAAUACCAGUGGCGAAGGCGGCCUUCUGGACUGACACUGACGCUGAGGUGCGAAAGCGUGGGUAGCAAACAGGAUUAGAUACCCGGGUAGUC
rnacentral:rRNA from 1 species